rnacentral:rRNA from 1 species
GACGUAGGGCGCGAGCGUUGUCCGGAUUUAUUGGGCGUAAAGAGCUCGUAGGCGGCUUGUCGCGUCGACCGUGAAAACUUGGGGCUCAACCCCAAGCCUGCGGUCGAUACGGGCAGGCUCGAGUUCGGUAGGGGAUCACGGAAUUCCUGGUGUAGCGGUGAAAUGCGCAGAUAUCAGGAGGAACACCGAUGGCGAAGGCAGUGAUCUGGGCCGAUACUGACGCUGAGGAGCGAAAGCGUGGGGGAGCGAACAGG